rnacentral:tRNA from 4 species
GCGGGGGUCGCAUAGCCUGGCCAAUUGUGCCGGACUUAAGAUCCGGUUCCUCAGGGAUUCGUCGGUUCGAAUCCGACCCCCCGCACCA